rnacentral:rRNA from 1 species
AACGAACGCUGGCGGCGUGUUUAAGACAUGCAAGUCGCACGGUGUCAUUUUGGUAGCAAUACUUGAAUGGCAUAGUGGCGCACGGGUGAGUAACACGUGAAUUACAUGCCCUGUAGAGGGGGAUAGCCCAGGGAAACUUGGAUUAAUACCCCAUGGUCUCGCAAGAGUAAAGGUGGCCGCAAGGCUGUCGCUACAGGAUUGGUUCGCGCCCUAUCAGCUUGUUGGCGGGGUAACGGCCCACCAAGGCUACGACGGGUACCUGGUCUGAGAGGACGAUCAGGCACACUGGAACUGAGACACGGUCCAGACACCUACGGGUGGCAGCAGUCGAGAAUGAUUCACAAUGGGGGCAACCCUGAUGGUGCAACGCCGCGUGGAGGAUGACGGUCUUCGGAUUGUAAACUCCUGUCAUCCGGGAGUAAGACCUGGCUGUGAAUAGCAGACAGGGUUGAUAGUACCGGAAGAGGAAGGGACGGCUAACUUCGUGCCAGCCGCCGCAGUAAGAC